GUCGUGCGAGAAAGUAUCUUCGGAUAUGAGUAGAGCGGCGGACGGGUGAGUAACGCGUAGGAAUCUACCUAGUAGAAGGGGAUAGCCCGGGGAAACCCGGAUUAAUACCGUAUACCUCCUUCGGGAGAAAGAAGGCCUCUCUUUGAAGCUUUCGCUACUAGAUGAGCCUGCGUAAGAUUAGCUUGUUGGUGAGGUAAAGGCUCACCAAGGCUACGAUCUUUAGCUGGUCUGAGAGGACGAUCAGCCACGUUGGGACUGAGACACGGCCCAGACUCCUACGGGAGGCAGCAGUGGGGAAUAUUGGACAAUGGGCGCAAGCCUGAUCCAGCCAUACCGCGUGUGUGAAGAAGGCCUUCGGGUUGUAAAGCACUUUAAGCAGGGAGAAAAAGUUAUAAGUUAAUACCUUAUAACCCUGAUGUUACCUGCAGAAUAAGCACCGGCUAAUUCCGUGCCAGCAGCCGCGGUAAUACGGAAGGUGCAAGCGUUAAUCGGAAUUACUGGGCGUAAAGCGCGCGUAGGUGGUUUGUUAAGUUGGAUGUGAAAGCCCUGGGCUCAACCUAGGAACUGCAUCCAAAACUAACUCACUAGAGUACGAUAGAGGGAGGUAG
rnacentral:rRNA from 1 species